AAUCACAUCAGCAACCAGACCACACAUCUGGACAUCACUCAACUCUGUCACACAUGUUCAGUUCCUCCAGUCUCUGUAUCUCUGAUAGUGCUGAUCUCUGCUGCUGCUGGAUCUCUGUUGAUUAUAGCUGCAGUCGGGAUCUUCUGCAUCUGCAGGAAAUGUCAGACAAAAAGGAAAGACAGGACUCAUUCAGGACUGUUUAAAUCAUCAUCUCGAAAAAAGGUAAGAAGUUACAGGUAGUUGUUGCAGUCAGUUAGUCUGUUACUCGUUUGUACAGUAUAGUUCUUAAA